rnacentral:rRNA from 1 species
GAAUACGGGGUGCAGCAGGCGCGAAACCUUUGCAAUGUGCGCAAGCACGACAAGGUUAAUCCGAGUGUUUCCUGUUAAAGGAAUCUUUUGUUAGUUGUAAAACCACUAACGAAUAAGGGGUGGGCAAGUUCUGGUGUCAGCCGCCGCGGUAAAACCAGCACCUCAAGUGGUCAGGAGGAUUAUUGGGCCUAAAGCAUCUGUAGCCUGUUCUAUAAGUUUUCGGUUAAAUCCAUUAGCUCAAUUAGUGGGGUGCCGAAAAUACUCUAGAAGUAGGGAGUGGGAGAGGUAGACGGUAUUCGGUAGGAAGGGGUAAAAUCCUUUGAUCUAUCGAGGACCACCUGUGGCGAAGGCGGUCUACCAGAACACGUUCGACGGUGAGGGAUGAAAGCUGGGGGAGCAAACCGGAUUAGAUACCCGGGUAGUCCCAGCUGUAAACGAUGCAGACUCGGUGAUGCCCUGGCUUGUGGCCAGUGCAGUGCCGCAGGGAAGCCGUUAAGUUUGCCGCCUGGGAAGUACGUACGCAAGUAUGACAGUUAACGGAAUUGGCGGGGGAGCACCACAAGGGGUCAAGCCUGAGGUUCAAUUGGAUUCACCGCCGGG